rnacentral:rRNA from 1 species
AUGGAGUCGACGGCGCUGAGCAUCGGCAAGGCCGUGCUGAGAGGAGCUAUUGGCUACGCCUCGUCCGCGGCGGCGGAGGAGGUGGCCUUGCAGCUCGGCAUCCAGGCUGAUCAUGCCUUCAUCAGGGACGAGCUCGAGAUGAUGCAGGCUUUCCUGAUGGCCGCGCACGAGGAGCCCGACGACAACAGGGUGGUCAAGACCUGGGUGAAGCAAGUCCGCGACGUGUCCUACAACGUCGAGGACUGCCUCCAAGAUUUCGCCGUCCGUCUGGAGGACUUGUCCUGGUGGCGCAUCCCCUGCACGCUGCUGGACCGGCGCAGUGUGGCCACGGAGAUGAAGGAGCUCAGAGCCCAGGUGGAGGAUGUCAGCCAGAGGAACACGCGCUACCGCCUCAUCAAGGGCUCUGGCUCCAGGCCUGCCACCACCGGGGGAAGCUCCAGCAUCCCUACUGAAGAGGUACUACUUCACAUCGCUGAAGCUACACGCACUACGCUGCAGGAAAAGAAGAAGGUUGAUCUCGCCCAAAUGGUCGCUGAUGAUGUAAGUGACCUUAGGACGAUCGCAGUGUGGGGAGCAAGCAGCGAUCUUGGGGUCACUUCCAUCAUUAGGGCUGCCUAUGACAAUCAAUAUGUGAGAGAGAAGUUCCAGUGCCGUGCUUGGGUACGGUUGACACACCCCUUCAAUCCAAGUGACUUCUUUGUGAGUUUGGUGAGGCAGUUCUAUGAAGAUUCGUAUGAAAAAACUGGGAAAGCAACAGAAGGAACAACCACUGGGCUGAAGGUUCUGGAGAAGAUGUCAGCACAAGAUAAUUUGGUUGAUGAGUUCAACCGCUACGUGACCGAGAAGAGGUGCCUAGUUGUUAUUACUGAUGUAUCUACCAUAGAAGAGUGGGACUGGAUCAAAACAUACUUCCCAAGAAAAAAUGGGAGCCGUAUUAUCGUGUCCACGCAGCAAUUUGAAGUUGCAAGCUUGUGCACCGAGAAGCCUUACUCCGUAUCAGAGAUAGAUCAGAAAUGGUCACUCGAUAAGGAUUUUUAUGUCUUCUACAAGAAGUUGGACGCUCCCACCAAAGAAUAUGACAAGCCCGAAUCUAGCUCAAAAGCUGAUAUUGGUACUGCUGAACCUGAUGGCAAGGAACAUGUACAGAAGCCUAGUCAUGAAAGUACAGUAGCAGUUGCUUUGGAGGAAGAUCAGCUUAUUGACCGGGCGGCAGCAAAAGCUAAAGUUGCCCAUUUAGUUGAUCAAGGUGGUCAGGUGAUCACUAUUUGUGGAAUGGGCGGACUUGGGAAAACCACUCUUGUGAGAAGUGUCUACCAACAAGAACUUGGUGAAAGGUUUCAGAGGCGUGCUUGGUUAACCAUGUCACGGUUCGCCAUGUCACGUUCUUUCAACUAUGAAGAAUUCCUUCGGGAUUUGUUCCACCAAUUACGUAGUGAUCACAAUGAAGAGAAAGAAUUUGCUGACCUGGAGAAAACACGAGACGAGACCAGUGGCAAAGAAAGCAAACCUGAAGCAAAUGAAGAACAUACUGAGACAAAGUUGACGAAGAUUUCAUCAGAGCAUAAAUGCCUCAUAGUUUUGGACGAUUUGUCAUCCUUUGUGGAUUGGACAUUGUUAAAGAAGCUCUUAUUGGGAAAUAUUUCUAACAGAAUCAUUGUCACCACACGAGAAUUGACUGUUGCUAAAUGUUGUUCUGUGGAAGAAAAUCAAAUAUACAAUCUUGAGUUGCUAAAUGAAGAGGAAGCUCUUGACCUAUUUAAAAAGAAGGUAUUCAAGGAUAUUAAGGAGAGAGAAAAUUAUCAUCGCAUUCCGGACCUGAUUGAGCAAGCAAAACUUAUACUGAAGAAAUGUGGUGGCCUCCCUCUUGCGAUAUCCACCAUAGGUAGCUACCUGGCAACCAAACCUAAAACUGCUAUGGAGUGGAGAAGUUUGAACAAACAUAUUAGUGCUGAGCUGGAGAUGAAUCCAGAGCUUGGGAUGAUAAAGACAGUCCUUACCACGAGCUAUGAUGGUUUACCUUAUCCUCUCAAGUUUCCGUUCUUGUAUUUGUCCAUUUUUCCUGCAAACAAUGGCAUUAGAUGGAAACGUUUGGUGAGAAGAUGGGUGGUAGAGGGUUACUCAAGGGGAAUACACAACAAGACUGCAGAGGAAAUUGGGGAGAGCUACAUCACAGAUCUUAUCAACAGGAGCAUGGUCCGACCAUCAUCAAAAGGGACAACCCAUAGAUCUGGAAGAGUUGGUUUUCUGGAAGUUCAUGAUUUAAUCCGUGAAGUUGGAACCUCAAAGUCAACAGAGGAAAAUCUUGUUUUUACACUGGAGGAGGGUUGCAACUUAGACAUCCAGGGUAAAAUUCGUCACCUUGCUGUAAGCAGUAGCUGGACAAGAGAUAAGAAUGCAUUUGAAAUUGCAUUUGACUUGUCUCACUUGCGAUCAUUAACAAUAUUUGGAGAGUACAAACCAUUUUUCAUUUCUGAUAAGAUGAGAUUACUCCGGGUGCUAGAUUUAGAAGACACAAAUGAUCUAACAAGUCACCAGCUGCAUCAAAUUGGGAAGCUUCGUCACCUAAACUACCUUUCUCUCAGAAGAUGUUAUAAAAUUUUACGUCUGCCAAAUUCGCUGGGCAAUCUGAGGCACCUACAAACACUGGAUGUGAGAGAUACUGGAAUAAUCAAUUUGCCAAGGUCAAUUACCAAGCUUCAGAAGUUACAGUAUGUUCGCGUGGGUUAUGUACCAGGGCAUGAUCACAAGCAAAGAGAAGAAUUUCAAUACAAUAUAUUUGCUAUGCGUGAAUGCAGUUUCUCUGUCGGGAACGUCAUCGAUGUCGAUGAAGGAUUGGGCUUGGGUGGCUACUUUUGCUACUGGUGGUGCUGGGCCUUCCGCGGCGUUCUCUUGUGCUUGCUGUGCAUGCUUGCUGGCGUAGGCUUCUUGUUGUUUGUCGCCUUAUUUAUCAUAGGGCGCUUCUCAUGGGUACUUAUGAAAGAUGGUUUUGAUGGGCUGCCUGUUGAGUUUAUGGGGCUAGAUCCAUAUGGUGUAAAGUUUCCAAGGGGAAUACGAAAACUCAAGUCCUUGCGCACACUGGGUGUUGUUAAUAUUGAUGCGGUAAGUUCCAUUAUUGAAGAUCUCCAAUAUCUUACUGACUUGCGCAAGUUGAGAGUGACUGGUCUCAAUAAGAAGAACUAUGUGAAGUUCUUCUGGGCCAUUGCCAAGCACAAAUGCCUUGAAUCUUUGUUGAUGCAGGCUGAGGGGGAGCCUAGUUUUUACGGGUGCUUGGAUGACUUGUCCUCACCUCCAAAAAACCUGCAGAGUCUCAAGCUGUACGGUAACCUGGUCAAAUUGCCGAAAUGGAUCCAUGGGCUCAAAGAUCUCGUCAAGCUGGAGCUAGGGAGCUCUAGGAUAUUGGAGCACAAUGAUGACAUACAAUCCCUUGGCAAGCUACCAAACUUGGCCAUUCUGCGUCUGUUGAAGGAGUCUUUCGUGGGUAAAGAGGUCCGCUUCGUUUUCCACCGGGAGGCAUUCCCAAGCCUGGUGGUGCUGAAGAUGGACCUCGUACCUAACCUCGGAUUGGUGAAGUUUGAAGAGGGGGCAACCCCAAAGCUUGAGCUGCUCCAGUUUCGUAGUUCAACUACCGAACCAACGGUUGGGCUGUUUUCUGGUCUAGCAUCUCUCACAAGCCUCAAAGAAUUUAUACUGCAGAACUGCAAUAGUGAAGACCUCGUGGAGGACCUGCGAUGCCAGCUCGCCAGGAACCAAAAUCAAAAUAGACCUGUAUUGAAGACGUUCCAAACUUGA